rnacentral:rRNA from 1 species
AACGAACGCUGGCGGCAUGCCUAACACAUGCAAGUCGAACGAGACCUUCGGGUCUAGUGGCGCACGGGUGCGUAACGCGUGGGAACCUGCCCUUAGGUUCGGAAUAACCCCCCGAAAGGGGUGCUAAUACCGGAUAAUCUCUUCGGACCAAAGGUCUAUCGCCUUUGGAUGGGCCGGGGUGGGGUUAGGUAGUUGGUAGGGUAAAAGCCUACCAAGGCGACGAUGCAUAGCUGGUCUGAGAGGAUGAGCGGCCAGACUGGGACUGAGACACGGCCCAGACUCGGAGGGGAGGGAGCAAUGGGGGAUAUUGGGCAGUGGGGGAAAGCCGGGUGCAGCGAUGCCGCGUGAGUGGUGAAGGCCUUAGGGUUGUAAAGCUCUUUUACCCGGGAUGAUAAUGACAGUACCGGGUGAAGAAGCUCCGGCUAACUCCGUG